rnacentral:rRNA from 1 species
GGCUCAGGACGAACGCUGGCGGCGCGCCUAACACAUGCAAGUCGAACGAGAGAGAGGGAGCUUGCUUCCUUGAUCGAGUGGCGAACGGGUGAGUAACGCGUGAGGAACCUGCCUCAAAGAGGGGGGCAACAGUUGGAAACGACUGCUAAUACCGCAUAAGCCCACGACCCGGCAUCGGGAAGAGGGAAAAGGAGCAAUCCGCUUUGAGAUGGCCUCGCGUCCGAUUAGCUAGUUGGUGAGGUAACGGCCCACCAAGGCGACGAUCGGUAGCCGGACUGAGAGGUUGAACGGCCACAUUGGGACUGAGACACGGCCCAGACUCCUACGGGAGGCAGCAGUGGGGAAUAUUGCACAAUGGGGGAAACCUUGAUGCAGCGACGCCGCGUGGAGGAAGAAGGUCUUCGGAUUGUAAACUCCUGUUGUUGGGGAAGAUAAUGACGGUACUCAACAAGGAAGUGACGGCUAACUACGUG